rnacentral:rRNA from 1 species
GCGUUGUUCGGAAUUACUGGGCGUAAAGCGCGCGCAGGCGGCUAUCCAAGUCAGUGGUGAAAGCCCGGAGCUCAACUCCGGAACUGCCAUUGAAACUGUUUAGCUUGAGGAUGAGAGAGGUGAGUGGAAUUCCCAGUGUAGAGGUGAAAUUCGUAGAUAUUGGGAAGAACACCGGUGGCGAAGGCGGCUCACUGGCUCAUUACUGACGCUCAGGCGCGAUAGCGUGGGGAUCAAACAGG